CACGAGUAUUAAUAUUCACAGACUCAUUUUGAAUUUAUUUUUACUAUUUCCAAACAUUUCUCAAACCAGAGCUGCAGACCCUGCACGACCCAUCCUAAAGACCUUCACUCAGCACAGACAGGGCUCAACACCUGGCUCCCUCUCUGUGCUAGACAUGCGCGAUAGGCGGCCAUCAAACCGCCGCUGUGGCGACGAACGUGCUUCCUUCAACUGGAAACUGUGAUAACACAAGACACAGAUAUCUGAAAUUCUCCUCCAUUUCCGGAGUGACUGUAAAUGUGAGUGUGAUUCCAGCUGUAAGGCCUCAGCUCAGCUCAGCUCAGCUCCGCUCCGCACGGUUCGGCUCAGUAGAUCACGGUCUGCCAAUGACGCACGUUUAACAACGCAACCUGUUUGUUGCAUGCAGAUCUACUGACAUCAUGUCCGCAGAUGACGAGCGUCUCCUAUCCACAUAUGACAAACUAAACUGU